rnacentral:rRNA from 1 species
UANGGAAUCUUCGGCAAUGGACGGAAGUCUGACCGAGCAACGCCGCGUGAGUGAAGAAGGUUUUCGGAUCGUAAAGCUCUGUUGUAAGAGAAGAACGAGUGUGAGAGUGGAAAGUUCACACUGUGACGGUAACUUACCAGAAAGGGACGGCUAACUACGUGCCAGCAGCCGCGGUAAUACGUAGGUCCCGAGCGUUAUCCGGAUUUAUUGGGCGUAAAGCGAGCGCAGGCGGUUAGAUAAGUCUGAAGUUAAAGGCUGUGGCUUAACCAUAGUACGCUUUGGAAACUGUUUAACUUGAGUGCAGAAGGGGAGAGUGGAAUUCCAUGUGUAGCGGUGAAAUGCGUAGAUAUAUGGAGGAACACCGGUGGCGAAAGCGGCUCUCUGGUCUGUAACUGACGCUGAGGCUCGAAAGCGUGGGGAGCAAACAGGAUUAGAUACCCUGGUAGUCCACGCCGUAAACGAUGAGUGCUAGGUGUUGGGUCCUUUCCGGGACUCNNUGCCGCAGCUAACGCAUUAAGCACUCCGCCUGGGGAGUACGACCGCAAGGUUG